AGCAUGUGCACAGUUUCAGGGCGAGUAACACGGAAGAAUAAUUUAAAAUGUUUGAUGGAUGUCAUUUUGGCAUCAACAAAAGAUGGAGGCGGGGCUGCUGGCAUACACGUACAGAGAAGUUGAGCCAGAGCUGCUGUCCCUCGUUUCCUCUCAAGUCUUCUGGCAACUCCCAGCGGAGGUCCGCCGCCUUACACUUUGAAAACUCUUCCAUGUUUAUAAAAUAGGGCACGUUACAUAAAAGUCUUUAAUGUAUUUUAUCUGCACUAGUGAUGCAAUUUUUCUGAACACACUGCAACAUUUACAUGAUCAUGGUUUUAAAGACUUUUCAGCAUACACAUUAAGAACCACUGCUCGGUCUUGUCUUGCUAAUAUUUUUUUUUACAUUAUUUACGUUAUUAUUUUUGUUUUACGUUAUUUACUUUUUAUUAAUGUUCUUAGUAUGAAGUAUACAGUUCUUGUAAUUAAACGCCAUGUAAUUGCUAUGUGUAUGUUAAAAUGAACUGUCCUGUUCAUCAAAUUAGUCAUCUCCGGCUUAGAAACAGUGUUUUGUUCUGUUAAAAUCUAAUUUGUUAAACGUUUGUACAAGUUCAAAACGACCCCAAUGCUAAUUUUCUUUAGCCUGUCAAUGGGCUUGUCCUUUGUAUGUUAGCAUUAAGCUAACAUACAAUAUGUAUGCAAGGCUGAAGGGUUUUGGGCCACCCUCUGCUUUGUCCGACACGAGUCACAAGAUGGAAAUGCAAGCUUGGAGACGGACA